rnacentral:rRNA from 1 species
UACGGAGGAUCCAAGCGUUAUCCGGAAUCAUUGGGUUUAAAGGGUCCGUAGGCGGUUUUGUAAGUCAGUGGUGAAAGCCCAUCGCUCAACGGUGGAACGGCCAUUGAUACUGCAAGACUUGAAUUACUGGGAAGUAACUAGAAUAUGUAGUGUAGCGGUGAAAUGCUUAGAUAUUACAUGGAAUACCAAUUGCGAAGGCAGGUUACUACCAGUUUAUUGACGCUGAUGGACGAAAGCGUGGGGAGCGAACAGG